rnacentral:rRNA from 1 species
UACGGGGGGGGCAAGCGUUGUCCGGAAUUAUUGGGCGUAAAGAGCUCGUAGGCGGUUCGUCGCGUCGGCUGUGAAAUCCCGAGGCUCAACCUCGGGUCUGCAGUCGAUACGGGCGGACUGGAGUUCGGCAGGGGAGACUGGAAUUCCUGGUGUAGCGGUGAAAUGCGCAGAUAUCAGGAGGAACACCGGUGGCGAAGGCGGGUCUCUGGGCCGAUACUGACGCUGAGGAGCGAAAGCGUGGGGAGCGAACAGG